ACGGCCAUACCACAUUGGAAACGUCGGUUCUUGUCCGAUCACCGAAGUUAAGCAAUGUCGGGCCCGGUCAGUACUUGGGAGGGUGACCACCUGGGAACACCAGGUACUGUACCU
rnacentral:rRNA from 1 species